GCUAACUCCGUGCCAGCAGCCGCGGUAAUACGGAGGGUGCAAGCGUUGUCCGGAAUCAUUGGGUGUAAAGGGUGCGUAGGCGGGAGCUUAAGUCUGUGGUGAAAUCUUACCGCUUAACGGUGAAAUGGCCAUGGAAACUAGGCUUCUUGAGUACAGAAGAGGUUGGUGGAAUUCGUAGUGUAGCGGUGAAAUGCAUAGAUAUUACGAAGAACAUCAGUGGCGAAGGCGGCCAACUGGACUGUUACUGACGCUGAGGCACGAAAGCGUGGGGAUCGAACAGGAUUAGAUACCCUUGUAGUC
rnacentral:rRNA from 1 species